rnacentral:rRNA from 1 species
UUUUAUGGAGAGUUUGAUCCUGGCUCAGAGUGAACGCUGGCGGCGUGCCUAAUACAUGCAAGUCGAACGAUGAAGCUUUUAGCUUGCUAGAAGUGGAUUAGUGGCGCACGGGUGAGUAAGGUAUAGUUAAUCUGCCCUACACAAGAGGACAACAGUUGGAAACGACUGCUAAUACUCUAUACUCCUGCUUAACACAAGUUGAGUAGGGAAAGUUUUUCGGUGUAGGAUGAGACUAUAUAGUAUCA